GGGACAACAGUUGGAAACGACUGCUAAUACCGCAUAAGCCCACGGUCUCGCAUGGGACUGGGGGAAAAGGAUUUAUUCGCUUCAGGAUGGACUCGCGUCCAAUUAGCUAGUUGGUGAGGUAACGGCCCACCAAGGCGACGAUUGGUAGCCGGACUGAGAGGUUGAACGGCCACAUUGGGACUGAGACACGGCCCAGACUCCUACGGGAGGCAGCAGUGGGGGAUAUUGCACAAUGGGGGAAACCCUGAUGCAGCGACGCCGCGUGGAGGAAGAAGGUUUUCGGAUUGUAAACUCCUGUCGUUAGGGACGAUAAUGACGGUACCUAACAAGAAAGCACCGGCUAACUACGUGCCAGCAGCCGCGGUAAAACGUAGGGUGCAAGCGUUGUCCGGAAUUACUGGGUGUAAAGGGAGCGCAGGCGGACCGGCAAGUUGGAAGUGAAAACCAUGGGCUCAACCCGUGAAUUGCUUUCAAAACUGCUGGCCUUGAGUAGUGCAGAGGUAGGUGGAAUUCCCGGUGUAGCGGUGGAAUGCGUAGAUAUCGGGAGGAACACCAGUGGCGAAGGCGACCUACUGGGCACCAACUGACGCUGAGGCUCGAAAGCAUGGGUAGCAAACAGGAUUAGAUACCCUGGUAGUCCAUGCCGUAA
rnacentral:rRNA from 1 species